CCCGAAACCCAUCCCCGAAGCAGACUGACUUGUCCCUCCAGAAGGUGGGACUGAUGGCGGCCGGUCAUGCCCAGCUUGGGCCCGACAGUCCCUUCAGACCCCAGAAAGGCAAGAGGCCACAAACAGCAGGACUGGCCCUCGGAGUUCCCAGUCCAGAGGAGGAGGAUCCCAGGGUAAAGUGCAGGGACUGUGGGGCCUUUGGACACAAGGCAUCAAGCACCAGAUGCCCCAUAAAACACUGGGGCACGACCCUUGUUCCUGUGACCUUGGGCUCCAGGAGGCUGAAGGGAAUGUGAAGCCAGGGAGUCAGUGGGACCAGCGGCACCAGGCUGGGCGAUUGGACCAGGCUGAGAGGGAGAAGGCAGAGAGACGAAGGCAAGAAGCCGAGCAGAGGAAGGCCCUGCUCCACAGGUUCCCCAGGAGACCCCGAAGGGGCAGAAGUGCACCUGGAAGGAAGACACAGAAUCUUGUGAUUAUGUGAGGGAGCUACCACCAUGACUACAGCAGCAGGACUCCUAUUGCCUCAUGAGCAGAACGGAUCGAAGAGCUGGUCCAAUGGAGAAGCAUCGCUGUGAGGCAGGACUUUGCGUGUCUCCCCCCCCCCCCAUGUCUCAAGUGCAUCAACAGCAUCCUGUCAGGCCUUUGUUCCAGAACAACCCUGCAGCCAGAUUCCCUACUCCUAGGUCAACA